rnacentral:lncRNA from 1 species
AUGUCUUGCUCGAGUUGUGUAUGCAACUGGUUCACCUCUGAUGCUCACAGGCAAUGUGUAUCGGAAAAGAUUUCUGAAUGUUCUUCGCCCAGCAUACACCCCUCCAACCAGACAUGCUUUAUCUACUCAUUUGUUGGAUGCAGAGUUCAAGUGAAGGUCAAGCGAACCAUCGAGAAAGCAGACUGUAUUGCAAUCAUCUCUGAUGGGUGGUCGAAUGUUUGUGAGCAAGGAAUAAUUAACUACAUCAUCUCCACCCCUCAACCAGUAUUCUACAAGAGCACAGACACAAGAGACAACAGACACACUGGUCUCUACAUUGCAGAUGAGCUGAAGGCAGUCAUCAAUAACCUUAGACCACAGAAGGUAUUUGCACUGGUGACAGACAAUACUGCGAACAUGAAGGCUGCUUGGUCUAAAGUGGAGGAGUCCUACCCUCACAUCACAUCCAUUGGCUGUGCUGCUCAUCCAUUGAAUCUGCUCCUCAAGGACAUCAUGGCACUGAAAACAAUGGAUACACUCUACAAGAGAUCCAAGGAAAUGGUUAGGUAUGUGAAGGGUCAUCAAGUUAUAGCAGCAAUCUACCUCACCAAGCAAAGUGAGAAGAACAAGAGCACCAGAUUUAAGCUGCCCAGCAACACCCAUUGGGAUGAUGUUGUCAUGUUUGACAGUCUCCUGGAGGGGAAGGAGUCUCUCAAAGAAAUGGCCAUAUCACAGUCUGCCGAUAUGGACAGCCCCAUCAAGAGGAUUCUCCUGGAUUAUGGAUUUUGGGAGAUAGUGGUAAGCAGCCUGAAACUACUGAAACCUAUAGCAGUAGCCAUUGCACGGAUUGAGGGAGGCAAUGCCAUCCUGUCUGAUGUUCAGACUCUGCUUGCAGAUGUAAGAGAAGAAAUCCAUACUGCCCUGCCCACUUCACUGUUGCUCCAAGCAGAGGAAAUUGCAGUUCUGAAAUACAUCAAAAAGUGUGAAGACUUCUGCCUGCAUCGUAUAUGUUGGACCCAAGUAUGCUGGCAAGAGCAUCCUGUCUGGCACACAGAUGAACAAGGUCUAUGGUGUCAUUACUACCAUGUCUCGCCACCUUGGCCUUUAAUGAGGGCAAGAUUCUUGGCAGUCUGGUGA